GACGAACGCUGGCGGCGUGCCUAAUACAUGCAAGUUGAGCGAUGAAGAUUGGUGCUUGCACCAAUUUGAAGAGCAGCGAACGGGUGAGUAACGCGUGGGGAAUCUGCCUUUGAGCGGGGGACAACAUUUGGAAACGAAUGCUAAUACCGCAUAACAACUUUAAACAUAAGUUUUAAGUUUGAAAGAUGCAAUUGCAUCACUCAAAGAUGAUCUCUCGUUGUAUUAGCUAGUUGGUGAGGUAAAGGCUCACCAAGGCGAUGAUACAUAGCCGACCUGAGAGGGUGAUCGGCCACAUUGGGACUGAGACACGGCACAAACUCCUACGGGAGGCAGCAGUAGGGAAGCUUCGGCAAUGGACGAAAGUCUGACCGAGAAACGCCGCGUGAGUGAAGAAGGUUGUCGGAUCGUAAAACUCUGUUGGUAGAGAAGAACGUUGGUGAGAGUGGAAAGCUCAUCAAGUGACGGUAACUACCCAGAAAGGGACGGCUAACUACGUG
rnacentral:rRNA from 1 species